CGCCCUUUAUUAUAAUUUUAGUAAACCUUAUUGCAGAUUAGGUAGUUUUGGGUGU
rnacentral:tRNA from 1 species